ensembl:lncRNA
CCUGUGCUGUGCUGAUUCAUUUUGAACACUCCACAUCACAGCAGUCACACACAAGCCAUCAGCCAUCAGAAUAGGUUGUAGAAAGUUCGUAGAAAAACGACCACAACACACACACUCAAACACAGCAAGGUCAGGAAGCAACAAGUCAUUCAGCGUUCUGCUGGCUGCCUCUGAGGUAACGAGAAGCAAGCUCUCCUGCGUCGCCAUCGAAGGGAUGGCUCGGCCAGCCGAGUGCCGCUGUGUCCACUACCUCUUCCUUGCCUGGCUCCUCUUCCUCACCGCCGGCCAGGUGGUCUUCCUCACCCUCCACUACACCGCAGGAGUACACAACAGGUCUCAGGGUGUGGUCACACCACAGUCCACAAGAGAAAUCAAACACAACCUUAAACCACAGGUCAAGGAGAAGAUAGCAGAGAUUUUUUCAGGCAAAAUGAUCAAUCUCGAAGCCUCAAAAGGGGAGCGAGGGGCCGCUGGGGUGACGGUCACCCUGAAGCGCAACGAA